rnacentral:rRNA from 1 species
AUUUUUCUUAAUUGAAUAAUAUUAUUACUUUCGGGUAGUUGAUUGGUAGUUAAAAUUCCAUAUAAUAGUAUGAAGAAUUAAACCUCUAAAUAUUAUUAUUUUGGGUCAAAAUUUUAAUUAUUAAUUAGAAUUUUAGUUCAUUUACUUUGAGAAAAUUAGAGUGUUUAAAUCAGUCUCUUUGGACUUUAAAUAUAAUUAGCAUGGGAUAAUAAAAUAAGAUUUAGUAUUAUUUUGUUGGUUUUUAUAAUAUUAAAUAAUGAUUAAUAGGGAUAGUUGGGGGUAUUUAUAUUAGACGGUUAGCGGUGAAAUGCUCAGAUCCGUUUAAGAUAAACUAAAGCGAAAGCAUUUACCAAGGAUGUUUUCAUUAAUCAAGAACGAAAGUUAAGGGAUCGAAGACGAUCAGAUACCGUCGUAGUCUUAACUAUAAACUAUGCCGACUAGGGAUGUGAGAAGUUAAUUUAAAUCUAGUAUUUAUUAUAUUAGAUUAUAUCCUCUUAUGCACCUUGUGAGAAAUCAUAAGUUAUUAGGUUCUGGGGGAAGUAUGGUCGCAAGUCUGAAACUUAUAGGAAUUGACGGAGGGGCACCACCAGGAGUGGAGCGUGCGGCUUAAUUUGACCCAACACGGGAAAACUUACCAGGUCCAGACAUUAUUAGGAUUGACAGAUUGAGAGCUCUUUCAUGAUUUAAUGGGUGGUGGUGCAUGGCCGUUCUUAGUUGGUGGAGUGAUUUGUCUGGCUAAUUCCGAUAACGAACGAGACCUUUACCAGUUAAAUAGUAAUAUUUAUGUAGUAAUACAUAGAUAGAAUAACUUCUUAGAGGGACUAUUGAUCAAAAAAUCAAAGGAAGUAAAGGCGAUAACAGGUCUGUGAUGCCCUUAGAUGUUCUGGGCUGCACGCGCGCUACAAUGAUAUAUUCAAAAAGUUUUCUAUGUUUUUUAAACUUAGUAUUACUUAAUCGGAAGGUUUGGUUAAUCUUUUAAACGUAUAUCGUGCUUGGGAUAGAUAAUUGUAAUUAUUUAUCUUGAACCAGGAAUUCCUAGUAAUCACAACUCAUCAGGUUGUGAUGAUUACGUCCCUGCCCCUUGUACACACCGCCCGUCGCUGCUACCGAUUGGAUGAUCCGGUGAAAUCUACAGAUUAUAUUAAUUAUUUAACGCAAGUUAAACUUUAAUUAGAGAAGUUGAUUAAACCUUAUUAUCUAGAGGAAGCAAAAGUCGUAACAAGGUUUCCGUAGGUGAACCUGCGGAAG